UCAGGUACCCAAACCAUAAAAAAAUACACUGAUGUCCUGUGGUGUCUGAUCACUAGAUAUCCAUUUCUUAAUGACCACAGCUAAUCUGGUUAUGAGACCCUGCUGGAGUGUCUUAGGAAUAAGUUCAAAAAGGAAAGGUCUCCUUUAAUAAACCUGACGACGGUGCAGGAGAUUAAGAGAAAGUUUGGUGUCAGAAGACAAAGAAUUGUGGACCAUGUGCCUCUGGAGGACCCACCUGGACAUCAGAGAGCAAAAAAGUACAGAGUGGGGGUCCAGAUGUCUUCUGAUUACGAGCCAACACAAGAGAUUAUGUUGGACCUUGAAGCCGUUGGGGAGGACUACCAUCUGCUAACCGGCCAGUUGUGCCGUCGUCAGCCAGAUAUUAGUCAUAUAAUGGACAGGAUGAGGCAAACUGUCUAUAAGAGGGUAGAGUAAAUGGGAAAGCCAACUGAGGAGGUGAUGGAGAUGUUCCAAUUUCUUUGGGUGUCAGAGCUGAUGCAUCAUGAAAUGAAGUUGCGGUUUGGACUGGACUUAGAGCUAAGCCUGCAUAACACCCUCAGUAUAUUGACCCCUGACGUCAUCAGAGUGGCUGACAGUGGGAGUCAGAGGGAGAGGCUGUCAAGCCUACGAGAUACGAACACAGAUGACCUUCAAAAAAGUGCUGCUGUCCUAAUUUUGUUUUUUUAAUUUUGCAAGUUUCUGUAUUGUUUGGACGAGGAAUCACGUGAGCGUGUUUCCAACCAUCAUCUUCCAGG